CUUAGAGUUUGAUCCUGGCUCAGGACGAACGCUGGCGGCGUGCCUAAUACCCGCACCCCCAGCGGACAGAAGGGAGCUUGCUCCCGGAUGUUAGCGGCGGACGGGUGAGUAACACGUGGGUAACCUGCCUGUAAGACUGGGAUAACUCCGGGAAACCGGAGCUAAUACCGGAUAGUUCCUUGAACCGCAUGGUUCAAGGAUGAAAGACGGUUUCGGCUGUCACUUACAGAUGGACCCGCGGCGCAUUAGCUAGUUGGUGAGGUAACGGCUCACCAAGGCGACGAUGCGUAGCCGACCUGAGAGGGUGAUCGGCCACACUGGGACUGAGACACGGCCCAGACUCCUACGGGAGGCAGCAGUAGGGAAUCUUCCGCAAUGGACGAAAGUCUGACGGAGCAACGCCGCGUGAGUGAUGAAGGUUUUCGGAUCGUAAAGCUCUGUUGUUAGGGAAGAACAAGUGCAAGAGUAACUGCUUGCACCUUGACGGUACCUAACCAGAAAGCCACGGCUAACUACGUGCCAGCAGCCGCGGUAAUACGUAGGUGGCAAGCGUUGUCCGGAAUUAUUGGGCGUAAAGGGCUCGCAGGCGGUUUCUUAAGUCUGAUGUGAAAGCCCCCGGCUCAACCGGGGAGGGUCAUUGGAAACUGGGAAACUUGAGUGCAGAAGAGGAGAGUGGAAUUCCACGUGUAGCGGUGAAAUGCGUAGAGAUGUGGAGGAACACCAGUGGCGAAGGCGACUCUCUGGUCUGUAACUGACGCUGAGGAGCGAAAGCGUGGGGAGCGAACAGGAUUUGAUACCCUGGUAGUCCACGCCGUAAACGAUGAGUGCUUAGUGUUAGGGGGUUUCCGCCCCUUAGUGCUGCAGCUAACGCAUAAGCACUCCGCCUGGGAGACUCGAAG
rnacentral:rRNA from 1 species